rnacentral:rRNA from 1 species
GACGAACGCUGGCGGCGUGCUUAACACAUGCAAGUCGAACGGAGUGGCGAACGGGUGAGUAUUACGUGAGUAACCUGCCCUCCACUGUGGGCUAAGCCUGGGAAACUGGGUCUAAUACUGCAUAGUUGGGGAUGGGCUCGCGGCCUAUCAGCUUGUUGGUGGGGUGAUGGCCUACCAAGGCGGUGACGGGUAGCCGGCCUGAGAGGGUGGUCGGGCACAUUGGGACUGAGAUACGGCCCAGGCUACUACAGGAGGAAGGAGUGGGGGAUAUUGCACAAUGGGCGCAAGCCUGAUGCAGCGACGCCGGGUGGGAGAUGAAGGCUUGCGGGUUGUACACCGCUUGCGGGAAAGAACGGGUAUGUGCAGAAGAAGAGCCGGCUAACUACGUGCCAGCAGCCGCGGUAAUUC